GCUAAGUGAAGCAAGUCAGAAAGGAAACUGCUCUUUUAACAGAGAUUUCAUCUAUGAUGACUAUACCACCAUGAUACCAGAUGUAGACAACACAAGUGAGAGCCCAGAUCAGGAGACUGAGGGACCACCUUUUGAAGGAUUCCCACCUAGACCCACUUUUGAUGAUGAAAACCAAGAUGAUGGUCUUUGGCAGAGACCACCUCCACCAGCAGACCAUCACUACCAUCCUCCCCCACCUCCUCCUGGAAACCAAUAAGGACCACCCACACCAGGAGACCAUCACCUCCAUCCUCCCCAAUCUCCUCCUGGAAACCGACAAGGACCUCCCCUAUCAGGAGACCAUCACCACGAUUUUCCCCCACAAGGAGUUAGACCACCGAAACCUCCCCAAGGCCAACCUGCCAAGUAA